rnacentral:rRNA from 1 species
GACGUAGGAUGCAAGCGUUGUCCGGAAUUAUUGGGCGUAAAGAGUUCGUAGGCGGUUAUCUAAGUCUGGUGUUAAAGACGGGAGCUCAACUCCCGCAUGGCAUUGGAAACUGGGUGGCUAGAGUGCGGUAGAGGUCUCGGGAAUUCCAGGUGUAGCGGUGAAAUGCGUAGAUAUCUGGAGGAACACCGGUGGCGAAAGCGCGAGACUGGGCCGUAACUGACGCUGAGGAACGAAAGCCAGGGGAGCAAAAGGG